rnacentral:rRNA from 1 species
AUGCUCCUCUUCUUCGAUGACAUACUUGUAUUCAGUAAGACGCUGCGCGACCACAUCGAUCAUCUGCGACAAGUGCUGGAACUUCUACGCCAAGAUCAAUGGCGCGUGAAGAUGUCCAAGUGUGAGUUCAGCCAGCACAGCCUCUCAUACCUGGGACAUGUCAUCAACAACCAUGGAGUAUCUACAGAACCAACCAAGAUACGUGCCGUAUCCAACUGGACGACACCAGCUGACGUCAAGGCAGUGCGCAGCUUCUUGGGGCUAGUGGGAUACUACCGGCGAUUCGUCAAGAACUUUGGGAUCAUCGCUCGCCCUCUGUUUAACCUGCUGAAGAAAGGGGUGUCGUUCAUGUGGACACCGGUUACAGAAAUAGCCUUCCAACUGCUCAAGCAACAUCUGAUCGAAGCCCCAGUCCUGGCACUUCCAAAUUUGUCCAAGCCAUUUGUAAUCGAGACUGACGCUUGUGACAAAGGGAUUGGGGCGAUACUGCAACAGGAUGGCCACCCGAUUGCAUAUAUGAGCAAGGCCCUGAGCCCCCAGUACCAGGGCUUCUCGACCUACGAGAAGGAAUACUUGGCAGUUCUUGUAGCUGUGGACCAGUGA